GUUGAUGUAGCUUAAACUCUAAAGCAAGGCACUGAAAAUGGCCUAGAUGACGUGUACCAACUCCAUAAACA
rnacentral:tRNA from 1 species